UACGUAGGCAGCAAGCGUUGUUCGGAGUUACUGGGCGUAAAGAGUGUGUAGGCGGUUCUCUAAGUUUGGUGUGAAAUCUCCCGGCUUAACUGGGAGGGUGCGCCGAAAACUGGAGGGCUCGAGUAUGGGAGAGGAAAGCGGAAUUCCUGGUGUAGCGGUGAAAUGCGUAGAUAUCAGGAGGAACACCUGUGGUGUAGACGGCUUUCUGGACCGUAACUGACGCUGAGACACGAAAGCGUGGGUAGCAAACAGG
rnacentral:rRNA from 1 species